rfam:Danio rerio chromosome 4, GRCz11 reference primary assembly.
GUCAGGAUGGCCAAGCGGUCUAAGGUGCUGCGUUCAGGUUGCAGUCUCACCUGGAGGCGUGGGUUCGAAUCCCACUUCUGACA